CGCGACCAUCAUACACCAUCUGUACCAUCUUCACCAUCUGACAGCUCUUCCCUGUAUAACCACCCUACACCAUCAUACACCAUCUGAAAACCAUCUGACACACUUCGACCAUCAUACACCAUCAUACACCAUCUGACAACCAUCUGACAUACUUCGACCAUCAUACACCAUCUGACAACCAUCUGACACACUUCGACCAUCAUACACCAUCUGUACCAUCUUCACCAUCUGACAACCCUUCCCUGUAUAACCACCCUACACCAUCAUACACCAUCUGAAAACCAUCUGACACACUUCGACCAUCAUACACCAUCAUACACCAUCAUACACCAUCUGACAACCAUCUGACACACUUCGACCAUCAUACACCAUCUGUACCAUCUUCACCAUCUGACAACCCUUCGCUGUAUAACCACCAUACACCAUCAUACACCAUCUGACAACCAUCUGACACACUUCGACCAUCAUACACCAUCAUACACCAUCUGACAACCAUCUGACACAUUUCGACCAUCAUACACCAUCUUCACCAUCUGACAACCCUUCGCUGUAUAACCACCCUACACCAUCAUACACCAUCUGAAAACCAUCUGACACACUUCGACCAUCAUACACCAUCAUACACCAUCUGACAACCAUCUGACAUACUUCGACCAUC
rnacentral:lncRNA from 1 species